ACAAUGAAGAGUUUGAUCCCGGCUCAGGAUGAACGCUAGCGGCAGGCCUAACACAUGCAAGUCGAGGGGCAGCGGGCCGGUCAGCGAUGACCGGUGCCGGCGACCGGCGGAAGGGUGCGUAACGCGUGAGCGACAUGCCCCGCACCGGGGGACAACCUCUGGAAACGGAGACUAAUACCCCAUGUAGCGGGAGGGGGGCAUCCCCCUCCCGCCAAAGCUUCGGCGGUGCGGGAUUGGCUCGCGUGGCAUUAGCUAGACGGCGGGGUAACGGCCCACCGUGGCGAUGAUGCCUAGGGGUCCCGAGAGGGAGGCCCCCCACACUGGGACUGAGACACGGCCCAGACU
rnacentral:rRNA from 1 species